CACGUAGGGGACGAGCGUUGUCCGGAUUCAUUGGGCGUAAAGCGUGCGCAGGCGGCUUUGCAAGACAGAUGUGAAAUCCCCGGGCUUAACCUGGGAACUGCAUUUGUGACUGCAUGGCUGGAGUGCGGCAGAGGGGGAUGGAAUUCCGCGUGUAGCAGUGAAAUGCGUAGAGAUGUGGAGGAACACCGAUGGCGAAGGCAGCCCCCUGGGCUGAGAUUGACGCUCAGGCACGAAAGCGUGGGGAGCAAACAGG
rnacentral:rRNA from 1 species